GUGGGGAAUAUUGGACAAUGGGCGAAAGCCUGAUCCAGCCAUGCCGCGUGUGUGAAGAAGGUCUUCGGAUUGUAAAGCACUUUAAGUUGGGAGGAAGGGCAGUAAGUUAAUACCUUGCUGUUUUGACGUUACCGACAGAAUAAGCACCGGCUAACUUCGUGCCAGCAGCCGCGGUAAUACGAAGGGUGCAAGCGUUAAUCGGAUUUAAUGGGCGUAAAGCGCGCGUAGGUGGUUUUGUAAGUUGGAGGUGAAAUCCCCGGGCUCAACCUGGGAACUGCCUCCAAAACUGCAUGACUAGAGUACGGUAGAGGGUAGUGGAAUUUCCUGUGUAGCGGUGAAAUGCGUAGAUAUAGGAAGGAACACCAGUGGCGAAGGCGACUACCUGGACUGAUACUGACACUGAGGUGCGAAAGCGUGGGGAGCAAACAGGAUUAGAUACCCCGGUAGUCC
rnacentral:rRNA from 1 species